rnacentral:rRNA from 1 species
CACGGGGGUUGCGAGCGUUGUCCGGAAUUACUAGGCGUAAAGGGCAGGCAGGCGGAUCCAUAAGUUUAUCGUUUAAGGCGUCGGCUUAACCGGCGUAGGGCGGUAGAUACUGUGGAUCUGGAAUGCGGUUGGGGAAGACAGAAUUCCUGGUGUAGCGGUGGAAUGCGCAGAGAUCAGGAGGAAUACCGAAGGCGAAGGCAGUCUUCCAAGCCGUUAUUGACGCUCAACUGCGAAGGUGUGGGUAUAAAACAGGAUUAGAUACCCUGGUAGUCCCUGAG